UACGGAGGGGGCGAGCGUUAUUCGGAAUUAUUGGGUGUAAAGGGCGCGUAGGCGGCUAGAUGAGUCAAAGGUGAAAUCCCUCGGCUCAACUGAGGAACUGCCUUUGAAACUGUCUGGCUUGAGGCCGGGAGAGGGUAGCGGAAUUCCCAGUGUAGCGGUGAAAUGCGUAGAUAUUGGGAGGAACACCAGUGGCGAAGGCGGCUACCUGGACCGGUUCUGACGCUGAGGCGCGAAAGCGUGGGUAGCAAACAGG
rnacentral:rRNA from 1 species